UGGAGGGAGAAGGUGGCAGCUGGAGUGUGGUGGGUGCAGGCAGUCUGGGGAAGGGUGGGAGAUGGUUUGGGAGGUGCUGUCAGAGAAGUGCUGGAUGGAAUGAGCUGUGCCUGGGAUGGUCCAGGGUGAGAGCCCUGGGUGGGUGGAGGGAGCUCUGCGAGGGUGUGAUGCCGAGGGAGGAACCUGUCCAGAGAUGUGAGUCUGGGUGAGGAACUGUGGGAAGGGACCACCCCAGGGAGGAGCAGGGGACAGGAGAUGGCUGGAAUGGAGGCUGGGGUAGGGCUGGUGUCUCGUUCUGAGAUGUGCUGGCGAGCUGACUUGACAGCCACCCCUUUGGUGCAGCAGAAUCGGUGAUUUCGAGGGGCUGGGGCUGCAAACAGGCACCGUCAGGGAGGAGAAUGGCAGAACUUCUGGCAGUUUUCAUCUUGGGAAUUGCAGAGAUGCUGGAGAAGAGUUGGAGGUGGAGCAGCACGAGCCCCUCUGGGUGUGUGUCUGUGUCUGGCCCCGUUUGCAGCUGCGGAGCAAACGCUGCCGGGUGGUGGAAGCUGAGGGUCCCUGAGUGUUCACUGCAGGUCCCAUGUGGAGCUGCUCUUCCUUCUUGGAGGCAGAUGGACUCCUGUGAAGGUCCUCCUGAGCACUGGUGUUAAACAGGGGGCUUUGGUAUUGGAUUUGUAGGAGCAGGAGAUGUUCUGUGAUGGGUUUUCUCGGGCUUUUCAGGAGCUUUUCAUGCAGGAGCGUUUCAUGCAUCCCUGGGGCCCAUGUGGAGCUGCUGUUCCUGUUUGGAAGCAGAUGGACUCCUGUGAAGGUUCUCCUGGAUGCUGGUGUUAAACAGGGAUCUUGGCAGUGGAUUUAGAGGAGCAGGAGAUGCUCUUUGAUGGCUUUCCUCGGGGCUCUUCAGAGCAGCUGCUUUCAAGCUGGUUUCAAGCUCUCCAAGAGCACGUGCAAGUGAAGGGUGUCUGUGUUGUCUGUGACUGUCCUGCAGCUGUUGGAUGACAAAGGCAAUAAUCAAUGGAGUUAUUUCGUUUGUAAGACAGAGAAAGAAUCCCAGCAGAGGAGAGCCUGUCCUUGAUCUGGUUGUGCCUGAUAAUGAGAAACGAAAUGAGAUGUGAGCGCCCCAAGCCAAGGGAGAACCAAUAGUUGCUGGCUCUGAAAUCACAAGGUCACGGGGAGAAGUGGUUCAGAGGCACAGCAAGGGCUGAAUCUCCAGCCUGGAAAGCAGGGGGGGAUUAGGAACACCCUGAGUCUUCUCGUUCCUUUGCACUUGGCGAUUAGGAGGAGUUACUCUGGAGCAACUGUUACCUCGUGCAUCCGACAGGGCUUCCUGGCUCUGGUGACAUCCCCACUGCAGUGUCUGAGCUGGAAUAAAUGGUAAAUUGGAUUUCUGUUGGCCGGGGCUGUGGCUUUGUUGAGUUAUUGCCGUGGCCGCGCUCGGCUGUGCUGGGGGUUGUUUCCAUGGGAGGAUUAUUUUCCCGGUGAAUAAAGUUCUCGCAGUGAGGAUGUAGCUUUUGUUGGGGAAGGCUUUGCAGCUCCUGUCUGAUGAGCAGCCAGCUGGUUUCCUCUGGAAUUCCUUUAUCUAAGCCAGAAGCACCGAGGAGCGGGGCUGGAGGAUCGGGAUCCCUGCGGGAAGGUUGGGAAGCCAUUCACAACUUGGAAGGUUGAGCCAAAGCUUUAAACUUAAUUUAACUCCCCGUGCCCGUGGUGAUCUGGAACAGCUGCCUCCUCCCCAGGCUGCUCUUCCAGCAGCAUUCCCACUCCCAGUGUUGGAAAAGCAGUGGGACAGGGAGUCUGGUCAGUGAGUUGAGUCCUUGACCCCACACAGCUUCACAACCCCCACAAACUGCUCACCCUCCACCUUUAAACCCACUGAUGCUUUUCCUCCUGCUAUUCCAGUGGGAAGGCUGUUCUGGAACCUUCCAGACUUCUGGAAGUAAAAAGUAUACAUAUAAGUAGAUAUAAAUAUGUAUAAAAUAUGUAGAUGUAUAAUAAAUAGAAUAUAAACACAAUAAAUAAGAAAUAGAAUAAUAAACAGAUGUAAUAAUAAAUAUAAUAAUACAUUUAAUAAAUAUAGAUGUAACAUUUUCACUCGUGUGAAUUUUGUAUGUGCACUCUCAAAAUAGACACCUAUAAAUAUAUCAAAUGCAUAAUCAGUAGUUUAUUCAGUAGUUAAUACAGGAGAACUCUCUAACUCAAGUGUAUUUUCUAAUAGUUCCAAGGUAUCAUUAGUUACAGUCUCAGGUUGUAAUAAGAACAUUCAUCAGCCUUCCUGGGCUGAUCUGGAACAAGAGGAAAACCAAACAAACCAGAACAAGCUUCAGUAAAUAUAUUUAUUAUGUAUACGGGUGUCAUUGCUUUGUUUCAAACACCAUAAAUAGUUACCUUUGCUUAUUUCAUAUUUCCAAGUUUGCCAAAGUUAAAAACCAGUUUUUACUGGAAACCACUGACCAGGGUGGUUGAAUGGCUCACACUUGAAAACAGGCUUGUCUAAAAUACACAGGUUUCUCUGGCAAGGAAUUCAAAGAAAUAUGCAGCAACUACUUUUAAAAUCCCAAGUUUUUCAUCUCUCCCGACCCCAGAAACGAGCGUUGGUGGCCGGUUUAAUCAUUCCUGGUGUUCCUUCAGACACAACAGCCUGCUGGGAGACAUCAAAGGCACCCUGACCAGGUCCUGGCUGGGGAGAAAGGAGGUUUCUUGUUCCCUUUUCCUGGCAAAUGGCACAGCUUAGUCACCAGUUCUACCUGCCAGGUUGAGGUUGGUGAUGUGCCCGUCAGGGAUCCCGGGGAGUCCCGGCUCUGGUGAGGGCUGGGCAUGGGAGCAGCAUCCCAUGGGAUCAUCUCCUGGUGCUCAGUGCCUCCAGGGUGUCUCCAGCUCCAGCUGCCUUGUCCUGACUCCUUGUGUUCUCCACAGCACUGGGCAGAGCUGGGAGCCACCAGGACCUUUGCCCUGGAGCUUUUGUGGUUCUUGGUUCCCUCGGGUCUCCUGCAGCCCUUGGGCACCAACUGCUGUUGUCUCCUGAGGAGCAGCUGAACUCCCCCGGGGCUGAAAUGGGUUAAAAACCGGCAGAGAUCCCCAACA